ensembl:lncRNA
CACAGUGCCAUAAUCCUUUACAGCUGUGCUGCUUCACAAAUGCUGGGCAUUUCCUUGGCCUGUGCUGUUUGCCAGAGCAUGUGUAGCCCCACGUGAUAUGUUUAUACAUUUAUUUAACACAAGCUCUACAUUCUGUUUUGCCUAAGGGUUCUGCUUUGUUUUGUUUUGGUGGACAUUGUUAAAACAGAAUCAUAAAUUUCAGCAGUAUAAUAUUAUCAGUCCUUCCUUUGUAUGUCUUAGGGCACCAUUUGUGUGAUGCCAGCCUGAGUCACAAAGCUUCUGAACACUGUUCCUCAGCUAAGCACCACUUCCAGUUGGCUUCUGUGAGAAAGAAUUCAAGGAGGACACAGAUGAAUGGUUGGGCCCAAGGACUUCCAUAUUGGUGAGAAGAGUUGGUGUGGCAUGUAUUGCUUUCAUUCAUUUUCUUCCAAGAGCUGAUUUAUUUUAGCAUUUACUCUUUUUAUCUCUACUGCUUUCAGUGUAGCAGAGAAGUAGGCCCAGACUUGCUCUUGUUAAUAGCUAGCUAGCAGCUGCUGUCAUAUCUUCUUUGGUGAGUGAAGUAUCUAAACUGAGACAUAAUCCAGAAAAAUUGGUGCUUGACUCUUUGCCUGUUGAUAAAUGAGAGACAGGUUCAGAAGUUCAACAACUAUCAUCUGGCUAGGAAGAUUCUAUGUAUUGAGAGCAAUUAAGCUGUACUGAUCACUCACUUCUUUUUUGCCAUGCGUGAUUCUCAGCCAAAGAUACCGCAGACAAAUUCCUCCUGGUGCAGCUCUUGCUCAUUCUCAUGCUUUGCUGUCUAACUGCAAACUCCCAACCCUAUCUGAGAAGAGAUAUAAUUAAAUUCAAUGUAAAAUAGAAUUUUCUGAUUGUUCAAAGGCAUCCAUUAAAAUUGCAUUAAAGUUCCUGAAUUUGCAUUUCUGAUACCAGGUACAGAAUCAGCUGUCACCUGUUCACAUGAAUGGAAAGCAUAUGCUUAUGUGUUAGCUGUCAGCAAUUUUGUUCUGUCUGGUUUUAGUAUCUAAAACUGGCUCACAGUUAAAAUCUGGUCUGGCUGAGUAAAUUCAGUCAGUUGUAGUACAUCUACAAGGUAAGCUUUGCUAACAGACCAAGUUUUAAAAUCUUUGGUGGGGCAUGCAGUAGGAACCUAGCUAGAGGUCUUCCCAAAACCUGCUUUUGAAUCUUAUUAGAGAUGUAAUCAGCCCUAAAGCUAGACAAAUGAAGUUUCACACACUACAGCUUCUAGUGUUCUUAUAUGUUCACUUCUACUUGAGAUUGGCCAGCAUGUGACACAACUCUCAAAACUACUGAAUAGGCAUCCAAGUGUUGAGAUGGUCUCAGAUGAAUAUAACUAUCAAAAUGGUGCCAGCCAGAUUACUUGAAUUAUGUAGAAAUUUUUUUUCAGCUCUCUAAAUUACUCAUCAAUUUAAAAAAAAAAAAGAAAAAGUGGUUUCAAUAGCUCAGUUUAACAGAGUCAAAUCUCUGUAUUAUGGUAGGCACAUCAGCUAUGGAUUUACAUGUCAAAAUUCAGUAUGGUAAAAUUUGGCAAGCUGAAUUGUCUACUUACUCCUAACAUUCUGAUAAACACCACAAUAUAUUUCUUGUGAUGCUGAAACCCACAAAUACUAAUGAUGUUUGCAAAGAAUGCACCAGAGAAUAAGUUAUCUCUGGUGCCAGAGUUGCUCAUUGGACUGACCACUUCAGAGUGAUGAGUCUGUGUGGUUUUCUUUUGUAGAAGAGGCUGUCUUGGAAAAGAUGAAUAAAAGACUUCUGUAAAAAAAACCUUCUGAGAUA